UUUUUUUUUUUUUUUUUUUUUUUUUUUUUUUUUUUUUGUU
rnacentral:ribozyme from 1 species